GAUGAAGAACGCAGCGAAACGCGAUAUGUAAUGUGAAUUGCAGAAUUCAGUGUAUCAUCGAAUCUUUGAACGCACAUGGCGCCUUCCAGUAUCCUGGGAGGCAUGCCUGUCCGAGCGUCGUUUCAACCCUCGAGCCCCCGUGGCCCGGCGUUGGGGAUCUGCCCAGGCAGUCCCCGAAAACCAGUGGCGGACCCGUUACAGGCCCUUCCCUUGCGUAGUAGCAUUCGCCUCGCAUCGGGAGCCGGCGGGCUUCCAGCCUCUAAACCCCCAUCAAGUCCGCCCCGGCGGCACCAAGGUUGACCUCGGAUCAGGUAGGAAUACCCGCUGAACUUAAGCAUAUCAAUAAGCGGAGGA
rnacentral:misc_RNA from 1 species